UCUCUCUCUCUUUUCCAAACCACGACAGAACUUUCUAUCUUUCUUCUCCAAACAAAGUUUUCUCCCUUUCUUCUCUAAACAAAGUCAAACUCUCUUCUCCAUUGAAACAUUUCCAACCUCAUCCAUUCAUCUUUCCAAACCAGGUCACAAUCCAACUUUUCUCUUUACUAUAUCACUAUAGAUCUACUCUAAUUUCAUGUUUUAUUUUGCUUUUCUCUCCUGCAUUUCAAUCGUUCUUACUGUUCCUUUUCUUUUGGCUCAUGAAGAUAUCACAAGUUUCUUUCUUCAUAGCACAAGUUUCUUUCUUUAUGAUUUGUGGGUAAUAUGUUUUCUGUUAAAUUGAGAAAUUUCAAGUCUUUAUUGCUUUUGGGAUCUUUUUGAAACUUAGAGAUUGAAAAAUAUUCCAUCUUUAUGCCCAAAAUCAACUGCUGGAAGAAGAGCCCAUGGAUUCUCUGUCUUCAGAUGGUACGGAAGAAGACUUACAAUCUAAUCACACAUCUAGUAUUCAUUGAAGACCCCAUUGUCAAUGAAAGAGGAACAACAAGAUUAUCAGUGGGCUCUUGAAAUGUUUAGUAAGUUGUUGGGAGCUGAUAAUCAUCCAGUGGCGAUUAUAACUGAUAGGGAGUUGGCAUUAAUGAAGGCAAUACAGGUUGUGUUUCCGAUGACUCCAAAUCUUUUAUGCAUAUGGCAUAUUGAAAAAAAAUAUUCUUGCACGUUGUAAGGGUCAGUUUAAGGAAGAUGCAGAUUGAGUUUCUUUUAUGUCUUCUUGGACUGCACUAGUAGAGUCUUGGAAUGAGUCGACGUUCAAUGAAACUUGGAACUAUUUUCAGAUUGAGUACAAAGACUAUGCUUCAGUUUUGACUUACAUUGUUAACACUUGGAUUCCAUGGAAAGAAAGGUUUGUAUUUACAUGGACGGGACAGACUUCACAUUUUGGUAAUAAUGUUACUUCUAGAGCAGAAGGUGCACAUGAAAUCUUAAAGAAAUAUCUUCAAGUUUCUACUGGUGGUCUACGUGAAGUGAAGGACAAUAUUUGUCUUGCUAUUCAAAAUCAGUUUCAGGAAAUUAAAACUCAACUUGCAAGUGAAAAGAUUCGUGUUCCUCAAAAACUUUGCAUCCCUUUCUUUAAAGAGGUGAUUAAUAAGGUAUCUUUCUAUGCUUUGUUUGAGUUACAAAAGCAAUAUUUGUUGGCAAAUACCAAAGAUUAUUCAUCUCAAUGCAAGGGCCAAUUUUCCAAAACCAUGGGUCUCCCAUGUGUGCACAUGAUUAAGGAUAUGAACAUUGAAGUGUUGCUUAUAAAUAUGAUUCAUAAGCAAUGGAGGAUUGACACAAGACCUUUCGGUAAUGAUCAACAUGCAAGCUUGGAUCAUGAAGAUCCAUUUAGUAGUCUUGUAUUUGAGAUUAAAGAGAAGUAUGAAAAACAGCCACUUAUGCAAAAAGAAAACACCAUAAGACAGCUUUCUCAGAUUCUUGGUGCAUCUUGUACUUUAAUUUUUUAGCCUACUCUUCAACCUCACAAAGGUCGUUCGGUAGGAUCAAAUAAAAGAAAGGAAACUAGCUCUACAAAGUGGGAACCUUCAUAUUUUGAGGUAGUGGAGAAGACAUCUCGAAAAUGUAGGGGCUGUGGCAAUAUCGGCCAUUAUCGUAACAAGUGUCCAUCACUAGGAAAGCAUACUUCACUAGGAACACAGUGAGAUAACUCCAAGCUUCUUUGGGAAUAGAGUUAUGCAGAGGCUCAAUGUGCUGACUGCCAUCAAGUUGUACUCCAAUACAAUACUGUACUUCUCCGUGUUUACAUAAACAAGUAGAAUGGCAAAUCAGUUCCAUAUUCUUUUCUAUUCUGGUAAUUGUCUAAUUUGAAAUUUUAUUAUACGCUUUUAAAAUAAGCUUGCAUUCAACAGUAACAUUGAUUUUGUAAUGUAAUAAAGAAUAUGUGAGGAGAUAUAUUACUUUUUGAUCACGCAUAGGCUGCAGAUGAAAGACAU